UCCUACGGGGCGCAGCAGUAGGGAAUCUUCCACAAUGGACGAAAGUCUGAUGGAGCAACGCCGCGUGAGUGAAGAAGGGUUUCGGCUCGUAAAGCUCUGGUGGUAGUGAAGAAAGAUAGAGGUAGGAACUGGCCUUUAUUUGACGGUAAUUACUUAGAAAGUCACGGCUAACUACGUGCCAGCAGCCGGGGUAAUACGUAGGUGGCAAGCGUUGUCCGGAUUUAUUGGGCGUAAAGGGAACGCAGGCGGUCGUUUAAGUCUGAUGUGAAAGCCUUCGGCUUAACCGG
rnacentral:rRNA from 1 species